CAGUAGCCGCGGGAAUACGUAGGGUGCGAGCGUUAAUCGGAAUUACUGGGCGUAAAGCGCACGUAGGCGGAUCGAUCAGUCAGGGGUGAAAUCCCAGAGCUCAACUCUGGAAUUGCCUUUGAUACUGUCGAUCUGGAGUAUGGAAGAGGUGAGUGGAAUUCCGAGUGUAGAGGUGAAAUUCGUAGAUAUUCGGAAGAACACCAGUGGCGAAGGCGGCUCACUGACUGGUAUUGACGCUGAGGUGCGAAAGCGUGGGGAGCAAGCAGGAUUAGAUACCCCGGUAGUCCCUGUCUCUUAUACC
rnacentral:rRNA from 1 species